rnacentral:rRNA from 1 species
GUCCACGCCGUAAACGAUGUCAACUAGCCGUUGGAUUCCUUGAGGAUUUAGUGGCGCAGCUAACGCAUUAAGUUGACCGCCUGGGGAGUACGGCCGCAAGGUUAAAACUCAAAUGAAUUGACGGGGGCCCCGCACAAGCGGUGGAGCAUGUGGUUUAAUUCGAAGCAACGCGAAGAACCUUACCUGGCCUUGACAUGUCGAGAACUUUCUAGAGAUAGAUUGGUGCCUUCGGGAACUCGAACACAGGUGCUGCAUGGCUGUCGU